UGUAUGUAAACUAUGUCCGGGUCCAUCAUCCGACCCAUCAUUGGUUAGGUUAUCAGAAGACCUUGUAACCUAUCGCUUGUACGUAGUACAAUCUCUGGUUACAAUGCUUCGCAUAAUCCUGUCAAACUGAACCGUAGGGACAAGUUAGGACAUUGUAACUAACCAUUACACUUUAACAACAUAAAAACAAACACACAAGCUAUCCCUUCGGCAAGCACGACUCACAUCUCUAUUGCGUCAAUUUCGAAAUACGCAAACAAAAGCUUAAAAUUUUAUAAAAGGGACUUCUUCAUUUUGAAUCGUCCUCAUUUGCCGCUACCGACUAGAAUCCGUUACACAUAUUCUAGUCUCACCUGUAAAAGUCUUGUAAUUUAUAGUGCAGUGAAAUUGUUAUGUUAGUGUUGAAUGUUAACAGCAUUCCAGUAGCCGCGAAAUGUGUCAGGGAGUUGGUCCCAACAAUUCACCAUCCAAACUAAACGCAAAGGACCGCGCUCAACGUCAAAAGAGGUCGUUUGGUUGGUGGUGCAUGGAGUGUCACAAAUAGUGAACCUCCAAGUUGGCAAAGCGCGCCAACCCGAGAAUUCUGUAGAGCGCAAUGGCGGAGGCCAUCCGGUUUUUUCUGACAAAGACAAAGACACAAAACCAAAGAAACCAAAACCGUUGCUGCGCCAGGCCUGGCCGGAGGAAGAUCCUCCGACUUGACUCGACCACCGCGGGAUACACUAGAACACACGAACACACACACACAUGGUUAUCCCAAGCAACACACUUUG